CGAUGAUCCGGUGCUUGCACCGGGGAUUAGUGGCGAACGGGUGAGUAACACGUGAGUAACCUGCCCUUGACUCUGGGAUAAGCCUGGGAAACCGGGUCUAAUACCGGAUACGACCUGUCACCGCAUGGUGGCGGGUGGAAAGAUUUAUUGGUUUUGGAUGGACUCGCGGCCUAUCAGCUUGUUGGUGAGGUAAUGGCUCACCAAGGCGACGACGGGUAGCCGGCCUGAGAGGGUGACCGGCCACACUGGGACUGAGACACGGCCCAGACUCCUACGGGAGGCAGCAGUGGGGAAUAUUGCACAAUGGGCGAAAGCCUGAUGCAGCGACGCCGCGUGAGGGAUGACGGCCUUCGGGUUGUAAACCUCUUUCAGCAGGGAAGAAGCGAAAGUGACGGUACCUGCAGAAGAAGCGCCGGCUAACUACGUGCCAGCAGCCGCGGUAAUACGUAGGGCGCAAGCGUUGUCCGGAAUUAUUGGGCGUAAAGAGCUCGUAGGCGGUUUGUCGCGUCUGCUGUGAAAGCCCGGGGCUCAACCCCGGGUCUGCAGUGGGUACGGGCAGACUAGAGUGCAGUAGGGGAGACUGGAAUUCCUGGUGUAGCGGUGAAAUGCGCAGAUAUCAGGAGGAACACCGAUGGCGAAGGCAGGUCUCUGGGCUGUAACUGACGCUGAGGAGCGAAAGCAUGGGGAGCGAACAGGAUUAGAUACCCUGGUAGUCCAUGCCGUAAACGUUGGGCACUAGGUGUGGGGGACAUUCCACGUUUUCCGCGCCGUAGCUAACGCAUUAAGUGCCCCGCCUGGGGAGUACGGCCGCAAGGCUAAAACUCAAAGGAAUUGACGGGGCCCGCACAAGCGGCGGAGCAUGCGGAUUAAUUCGAUGCAACGCGAAGAACCUUACCAAGGCUUGACAUGGACCGGACCGCCGCAGAAAUGCGGUUUCCCUUCGGGGCCGGUUUACAGGUGGUGCAUGGUUGUCGUCAGCUCGUGUCGUGAGAUGUUGGGUUAAGUCCCGCAACGAGCGCAACCCUCGUUCUAUGUUGCCAGCGCGUUAUGGCGGGGACUCAUAGGAGACUGCCGGGGUCAACUCGGAGGAAGGUGGGGACGACGUCAAAUCAUCAUGCCCCUUAUGUCUUGGGCUUCACGCAUGCUACAAUGGCCGGUACAAAGGGUUGCGAUACUGUGAGGUGGAGCUAAUCCCAAAAAGCCGGUCUCAGUUCGGAUUGAGGUCUGCAACUCGACCUCAUGAAGUCGGAGUCGCUAGUAAUCGCAGAUCAGCAACGCUGCGGUGAAUACGUUCCCGGGCCUUGUACACACCGCCCGUCAAGUCACGAAAGUUGGUAACACCCGAAGCCGGUGGCCUAACCCCUUGUGGGAGGGAGCCGUCGAAGGUGGGACCGGCGAUUGGGA
rnacentral:rRNA from 1 species